UACGAAGGGUGCAAGCGUUGUUCGGAUUUAUUGGGCGUAAAGCGCGCGCAGGCGGACGGCUAAGUCAGAUGUGAAAUCCCAGGGCUCAACCCUGGAACUGCGUCUGAAACUGGUCGUCUAGAAUCUCGGAGAGGAAAGGGGAAUUUCGCAUGUAGGGGUAAAAUCCGUAGAGAUGCGAAGGAACACCAGAGGCGAAGGCG
rnacentral:rRNA from 1 species